GACGAACGCUGGCGGCGUGCCUAAUACAUGCGAGUCGAGCGGACGAAUCGAAAGCUUGCUUUUGAUUCGUUAGCGGCGGACGGGUGAGUAACACGUGGGCAACCUGCCCUGUAGACGGGGAUAACACCGAGAAAUCGGUGCUAAUACCGGAUAACACGAAAUGUCGCAUGACGUUUCGUUGAAAGACGGCGCAAGCUGUCGCUACAGGAUGGGCCCGCGGCGCAUUAGCUAGUUGGUGAGGUAACGGCUCACCAAGGCGACGAUGCGUAGCCGACCUGAGAGGGUGAUCGGCCACACUGGGACUGAGACACGGCCCAGACUCCUACGGGAGGCAGCAGUAGGGAAUCUUCCGCAAUGGACGAAAGUCUGACGGAGCAACGCCGCGUGAGCGAAGAAGGCCUUCGGGUCGUAAAGCUCUGUUGUUAGGGAAGAACAAGUAACGCAGUAACUGGCGUUACCGUGACGGUACCUAACGAGAAAGCCACGGCUAACUACGUG
rnacentral:rRNA from 1 species